AGCGAACGCUGGCGGCAGGCCUAACACAUGCAAGUCGAACGAACCUUUCGGGGUUAGUGGCGGACGGGUGAGUAACACGUGGGAACGUGCCUUUAGGUUCGGAAUAACUCAGGGAAACUUGUGCUAAUACCGAAUGUGCCCUUCGGGGGAAAGAUUAAUCGCCUUUAGAGCGGCCCGCGUCUGAUUAGCUAGUUGGUUGAGGUAAUGGCUCACCAAGGCGACGAUCAGUAGCUGGUCUGAGAGGAUGAUCAGCCACAUUGGGACUGAGACACGGCCCAAACCCCUCCGGAGGCAGCAGUGGGGAAUCUUGCGCAAUGGGCGAAAGCCUGACGCAGCCAUGCCGCGUGAAUGAUGAAGGUCUUAGGAUUGUAAAAUUCUUUCACCGGGGACGAUAAUGACGGUACCCGGAGAAGAAGCCCCGGCUAACUUCGUG
rnacentral:rRNA from 1 species